rnacentral:rRNA from 1 species
UACGUAGGGUGCAAGCGUUAAUCGGAAUUACUGGGCGUAAAGCGUGCGCAGGCGGUUAUGCAAGACAGAUGGGAAAUCCCCGGGCUUAACCUGGGAACUGCAUUUGUGACUGCAUAGCUGGAGUACGGUAGAGGGGGAUGGAAUUCCGCGUGUAGCAGUGAAAUGCGUAGAUAUGCGGAGGAACACCGAUGGCGAAGGCAGUCCCCUGGACCUGUACUGACGCUCAUGCACGAAAGCGUGGGGAGCAAACAGG